GCCGGGUGCGGUGGCGCGCGCCUGUAAUCCAAGUUACCGGGAGGCUGAGGCUGGAGGAUCGUUUGAGCUCAGGAGCUCUGAGCUGCAGCGGACUAUGCCGAUCGGGUGUCCGCGCUAAGUUCGGUAUCGAUAUGGUGCUCCUGAGGGAGCCCGGGACCACCAGGUCGUCUAAGGAGGGGUGCACCGGCCCAGGUCGGAGACGGAGCAGGUCAAAGCCCCCGUGCCGUUCAGUAGUGGGAUCGCGCCUGUGAAUAGACGCUGUAGUGCAGCCUGAGUAAUACAGCGGGACCCAGUCUUUU
ensembl:misc_RNA Metazoa_SRP Metazoan signal recognition particle RNA